rnacentral:rRNA from 1 species
UAAGGCCGAGAGCUGAUGACGAGUGUUCUUUUAGAACACGAAGUGGUUGAUGCCAUGCUUCCAAGAAAAGCUUCUAAGCUUCAGGUAACCAGGAACCGUACCCCAAACCGACACAGGUGGUUGGGUAGAGAAUACCAAGGCGCUUGAGAGAACUCGGGUGAAGGAACUAGGCAAAAUGGCACCGUAACUUCGGGAGAAGGUGCGCCGGUGAGGGUGAAGCAUUUACUGCGUAAGCCCACGCCGGUCGAAGAUACCAGGCCGCUGCGACUGUUUAUUAAAAACACAGCACUCUGCAAACACGAAAGUGGACGUAUAGGGUGUGACGCCUGCCCGGUGCCGGAAGGUUAAUUGAUGGGGUUAGCUAACGCGAAGCUCUUGAUCGAAGCCCCGGUAAACGGCGGCCGUAACUAUAACGGUCCUAAGGUAGCGAAAUUCCUUGUCGGGUAAGUUCCGACCUGCACGAAUGGCGUAACGAUGGCGGCGCUGUCUCCACCCGAGACUCAGUGAAAUUGAAAUCGCUGUGAAGAUGCAGUGUAUCCGCGGCUAGACGGAAAGACCCCGUGAACCUUUACUAUAGCUUUGCACUGGACUUUGAAUUUGCUUGUGUAGGAUAGGUGGGAGGCUUUGAAGCGUGGACGCCAGUUCGCGUGGAGCCAACCUUGAAAUACCACCCUGGCAACUUUGAGGUUCUAACUCAGGUCCGUUAUCCGGAUCGAGGACAGUGUAUGGUGGGUAGUUUGACUGGGGCGGUCUCCUCCUAAAGAGUAACGGAGGAGUACGAAGGUGCGCUCAGACCGGUCGGAAAUCGGUCGUAGAGUAUAAAGGCAAAAGCGCGCUUGACUGCGAGACAGACACGUCGAGCAGGUACGAAAGUAGGUCUUAGUGAUCCGGUGGUUCUGUAUGGAAGGGCCAUCGCUCAACGGAUAAAAGGUACUCCGGGGAUAACAGGCUGAUACCGCCCAAGAGUUCAUAUCGACGGCGGUGUUUGGCACCUCGAUGUCGGCUCAUCACAUCCUGGGGCUGAAGCCGGUCCCAAGGGUAUGGCUGUUCGCCAUUUAAAGUGGUACGCGAGCUGGGUUUAGAACGUCGUGAGACAGUUCGGUCCCUAUCUGCCGUGGACGUUUGAGAUUUGAGAGGGGCUGCUCCUAGUACGAGAGGACCGGAGUGGACGAACCUCUGGUGUUCCGGUUGUCACGCCAGUGGCAUUGCCGGGUAGCUAUGUUCGGAAUAGAUAACCGCUGAAAGCAUCUAAGCGGGAAACUAGCCUCAAGAUGAGAUCUCACUGGGACCUUGAGUCCCCUGAAGGGCCGUCGAAGACUACGACGUUGAUAGGUUGGGUGUGUAAGCGCUGUGAGGCGUUGAGCUAACCAAUACUAAUUGCCCGUGAGGCUUGACCAU